CCCGGCGUAGCUCAAUGGACAGAGCACCAGACUGCUAAUCUGGUGGUUGCGGGUCCGAAUCCCGCCGCCGGGGCCA
rnacentral:tRNA from 1 species